rnacentral:rRNA from 1 species
AUUGAACGCUGGCGGCAGGCCUAACACAUGCAAGUCGAGCGGAGCGGCGGACGGGUGAGUAAUGCCUAGGAAUCUGCCUGGUAGUGGGGGAUAACGACCGGAAACGGGCGCUAAUACCGCAUAAUAUCAGAGGAGCCUAGGUCGGAUUAGCGAGUGGGUGGGGUAAAGGCCUACCAAGGCGACGAUCCGUAACUGGUCUGAGAGUAUGAUCAGUCACACUGUAACUGAGACACGGUCCAGACUCCUACGGUAUGCAGCAGUGGGUAAGAUUGGACAAUGGGCGAAAGCCUGAUCCAGCCAUGCCGCGGGUGUGAAGAAGGUCUGCGGAUUGUAAAGCACUUUAAGUUGGGAGGCGUUACCAACAGAAUAAGCACCGGCUAACUUCGUGCCAGCCGCCGCGGUAAUAC